GACGAACGCUGGCGGCGUGCUUAACACAUGCAAGUCGAACGGUGAUGCUCCAGCUUGCUGGAGUGGAUCAGUGGCGAACGGGUGAGUAACACGUGAGCAACCUGCCCCAGACUCUGGAAUAAGCGCUGGAAACGGCGUCUAAUACUGGAUACGAAACUGGCCCGCAUGGGCAUUGUUUGGAAAGUUUUUCGGUUUGGGAUGGGCUCGCGGCCUAUCAGCUUGUUGGUGAGGUAAUGGCUCACCAAGGCGACGACGGGUAGCCGGCCUGAGAGGGCGACCGGCCACACUGGGACUGAGACACGGCCCAGACUCCUACGGGAGGCAGCAGUGGGGAAUAUUGCACAAUGGGCGAAAGCCUGAUGCAGCGACGCCGCGUGAGGGAUGACGGCCUUCGGGUUGUAAACCUCUUUCAGCAGGGAAGAAGCGAAAGUGACGGUACCUGCAGAAGAAGCACCGGCUAACUACGUG
rnacentral:rRNA from 1 species